rnacentral:lncRNA from 10 species
GCUCUCUUGCAUAUGCUUGCUCUCCCUUCUGCUCUUUUGCCACGGGAUAUUGCAGCAUGAAAGCUCUCACCAGAUAUAAGCACCGUGCUUUUGGAAUUCUCAGCCCCCAAAAUGGUAAGAAAUAUACUUAUUUUCUUUACAAAUUAUCCAGUCUAUAGAAUUCUGUUAUAGCAACACAAGACAGACUAAGAGAGAAGCUAUAUGUCCAGGGCUAUGGGUGGCACUGUAGUAACAGUGUAUCCUGGCACUGUAAUAACACAAAGAAAUUCUGAAUAAGCAAUUGGGCAGGAAAAAAUAGGUUUAGACUGUGGAAGGAAAGUUGACAGAGAGGUGAAAAACAUGUGACAGGUGAAGAAGAAAUUUAUGGGAGGAUUGAAGUGCCAAAUGAGAUAUUUACU